UCCGUGCCAGCAGCCGCGGUAAUACGGAGGGGGUUAGCGUUGUUCGGAAUUACUGGGCGUAAAGCGCACGUAGGCGGAUUGGAAAGUUGGGGGUGAAAUCCCGGGGCUCAACCCCGGAACUGCCUCCAAAACUAUCAGUCUAGAGUUCGAAAGAGGUGAGUGGAAUUCCAAGUGUAGAGGUGAAAUUCGUAGAUAUUUGGAGGAACACCAGUGGCGAAGGCGGCUCACUGGCUCGAUACUGACGCUGAGGUGCGAAAGUGUGGGGAGCAAACAGGAUUAGAUACCCUGGUAGUCCACACCGUAAACGAUGAAUGCCAGUCGUCGGGCAGUAUACUGUUCGGUGACACACCUAACGGAUUAAGCAUUCCGCCUGGGGAGUACGGUCGCAAGAUUAAAACUCAAAUGAAUUGACGG
rnacentral:rRNA from 1 species